UUUUGUUGUCGCCCCUUUGAUCCGGUUGUUUUUCCCACCACUUCGAUCCCAUCUCCUGGCCGCUUCGAUCCUGCCUCCCCUACCGCUUCGAUCCCAUCUCCCCGUCGUUUCGAUCCCGUCUCCCCGUCGCUUCGAUGCCAUCUAUUGCCUUCUCAGUUAGUUCCUACUUCCCGACCCUUUUUUUUUCCUGCUUCCUCACCUUUUUUUUCCUCUCUUCCCUGGCAGCAGCCUCCUUCUUCGCUUUUUGGGAUUGUGCGGCAAUGAAGCUGGUUCCCCUUCCAAUUAAUGCGUCCGCACAACCCUCACUGCCUCUAUGGUUGCCGCACCUCGGUUGCCUGUCAAAUUUGGUCUGAUCAUCUCCAAGAUCAUAUCAUUGGCUUUUACUUGCAUACCAGUGCGAUACUAUAUCUGUGCGUAAGCCAUGCAAAAAUUAUUCUAUAAUUUGACCCUAAAAAGGAUGGAACUGCAAACAAGCAUGCAAUCCACAACCUAUCACUCGCCAUGGCGCAAGGAGAAUGCAUAGGCCUAAGCCCAAAUGGUUCUGAGAAAACCACAUUUAUUAAAAUAAUGUGUGUAUUUCCUAUACUAUAUUUUCGACAUAUAUUAGGUUCUUUGUCGAGAUUGUUAUCUAAAACUGAGAUGUGUAUGUUAGGUCACCGGUCUCCUUUAUUCGACAUUUGGAACCAUCUUCAUUGGCAAUAAGGAUAUUAUCUCAAGUAGGGAUAACAUUUGCUCCAAGUUUAAUUGUAUUUUACUGGAAGUCAAGUAAAAAAGGCAACUUAGAUGCCUUAAAGAAGCUACUGUAGCCAUUGGCUCUUAAGAGAAUUCCAAUAGCAGAAGACAUGAGAGAGGAGAGGUUAUGAUGAUCUUACCACUUAUACAAGAUUUUUUUUCUCCGAUUGGGAAGAAACAAUUGAUUGAUUUGUUGAGAGUUAUAUUGUCACGCCCCGAGACCGGCACCAAUUUGGCCCGACCCGAGCACGUCAAACAGACGCCGAACGGACAGAG